CAGAAAAUCCUUCCACAGUAUCAAUAUUCAGAUGAUCUGUGAUGCUGCCUGCAUCAUUACCAAUGUGGAGGCAAAGUGGCCUGCGUCCGUCCAUGACUCCAGAGUUUUAAGGUCCAGUACCAUUUCCCAGCGACUAUCACAAGGUGAAUUCUCUGCCGUUCUGCUGGGAGACAAGGGUU